rnacentral:rRNA from 1 species
GACGAACGCUGGCGGCGUGCUUAACACAUGCAAGUCGAACGAUGAAGCCGGAGCUUGCUCUGGUGAAUUAGUGGCGAACGGGUGAGUAACACGUUAGUAACCUGCCCUUGACUCUGGGAUAACUGCGGGAAACUGUAGCUAAUACCGGAUACGACCCUCGGAGGCAUCUCCUGGGGGUGGAAAGAAUUUCGGUCAAGGAUGGACUCGCGGCCUAUCAGCUAGUUGGUGAGGUAAAGGCUCACCAAGGCGACGACGGGUAGCCGGCCUGAGAGGGGGACCGGCCACACUGGGACUGAGACACGGCCCAGACUCCUACGGGAGGCAGCGGUGGGGAAUAUUGCACAAUGGGCGCAAGCCUGAUGCAGCACCUCCGCGUGAGGGAUGACGGCCUUCGGUUUGUAACCCUCUUUUAGCAGGGAGGAAGCGAAAGUGACGGUACCUGCAGAAAAAGCACCGGCUAACUACGUGCCAGCCGCCGCCGUAA